CCUACGGGAGGCAGCAGUAGGGAAUCUUCCGCAAUGGACGAAAGUCUGACGGAGCAACGCCGCGUGAGCGAUGAAGGCCUUCGGGUCGUAAAGCUCUGUUGUUAGGGAAGAACAAGUGCUAGUUAAAUAAGCUGGCACCUUGACGGUACCUAACCAGAAAGCCACGGCUAACUACGUGCCAGCAGCCGCGGUAAUACGUAGGUGGCAAGCGUUGUCCGGAAUUAUUGGGCGUAAAGCGCGCGCAGGCGGUUUCUUAAGUCUGAUGUGAAAGCCCCCGGCUCAACCGGGGAGGGUCAUUGGAAACUGGGAAACUUGAGUGCAGAAGAGGAAAGUGGAAUUCCAAGUGUAGCGGUGAAAUGCGUAGAGAUGUGGAGGAACACCAGUGGCGAAGGCGGCUUUCUGGUCUGUAACUGACGCUGAGGCGCGAAAGCGUGGGGAGCAAACAGGAUUAGAUACCCUGGUAGUCCACGCCGUAAACGAUGAGUGCUAAGUGUUAGGGGGUUUCCGCCCCUUAGUGCUGCAGCUAACGCAUUAAGCACUCCGCCUGGGGAGUACGGCCGCAAGGCUGAAACUCAAAGGAAUUGACGG
rnacentral:rRNA from 1 species